UCCAAUGUGCAACUAUGGUUCUUCUGAUAGUCCUUUUGACAGUGGACUUCAUUACAUGGACUUAAUAUGGUCAAUUCUCUCCGUUUGUCUUGGUAUGACCUUAUCAACAUCAUCAAAGAGUGUGGUGUACAUUGAGCCAGCCCCAUCAAAAGCAUGAAGGCCAACCCCCAUGAUGGUGACUAGUUCUAGCACAUGUUAAAGGAUGCUUUCUUAGCUUGAAUCAUGACUUUGCUCCCAUUCAAUGGUAUAAAGGCUACAGCGAAUUUCUUGGGCGAAUUGGAUGGAAGAGCAGACCCACAAGAAGAUGCCAAGUAGGGUGAGGACUAUAUGAGAUUAGUCGGCGCCGCAUUCCGGUUGGAUCACAUCCUGAAAUUUAAGCUUAGGGGCUGAUUUUAGCACAUGAUAAUUGUGAUGUGGAUGUCCAAAAAAAUGUUGUCACCA
rnacentral:lncRNA from 1 species